GACGGAGGAUGCAAGUGUUAUCCGGAAUCACUGGGCGUAAAGCGUCUGUAGGUGGUUCGAAAAGUCCACUGUUAAAAUUGAGGCUUAACUUCAAAGAUGCCGUGGAAACUUUCAAACUAGAGUAUGGUAGGGGUAGAGGGAAUUUCCAGUGGAGCGGUGAAAUGCGUAGAUAUUGGAAAGACCACCGAUGGCGAAGGCACUCUACUGGGCCACUACUGACACUGAGAGACGAAAGCUAGGGGAGCAAAUGGG
rnacentral:rRNA from 1 species